rnacentral:rRNA from 1 species
AUUGAACGCUGGCGGCAGGCUUAACACAUGCAAGUCGAGCGAGCGGCGGACGGGUGAGUAAUGUCUGGGAAACUGCCUGAUGGAGGGGGAUAACUACUGGAAACGGUAUCUAAUACCGCAAAACAUCAGAUGUGACCAGAUGGGAUUAGCUAGUAGGUGGGGUAAGGGUUCACCUAGGCGACGAUCCCUAGCUGGUCUGAGAGGAUGACCGUCCACACUGGAACUGAGACACGGUCCAGACUCCUACGUGAGGCAGCAGUGGGGAAUAUUGCACAAUGGGCGCAAGCCUGAUGCAGCCAUGCCGCGUGUGUGAAGAAGGCCUUCGGGUUGUAAAGCACUGUCAGCGAGGAGGCGUUACUCUCAGAAGAAGCACCGGCUAACUCCGUGCCAGCCGCCGCGGUAAUAC